UUUUUUCGUUUUCGUUAGCAUGAAAGUAUCAUGAUGUCGUUGUUGAGUUAGUUCGAGAAAUCCUACUAUCGCGUGCUCACUUCUCGUAAUCUGUCAAAAUUACCAUGGCGCCCCUCUACCCCUUGAUCGAAACGAAGAAGCUUCCUCCGUUUCUGAAUAUUGGUGAUGAAGAAAGUGUUCAAAGCUUUUGGUGGGGAUGAAGUGUACAGAAUCAAAUUUCAUUUGAUUUGUUUUUAUUUAAUAGAAUCAAUUAUUAAUAGCUUCUGUUUGGAAUUUGGAUUGAUCACCUUGUUUAAUAAUCAAUAUAUCAAAUACUCAAUCCCUCCCGUUUUAUUCGUCUUAUUCGUCGUAUUCGUAUACGGUUUCUACACGCAUAUUAACAAAAUUACUAAAUUGCCCCCCCAAAGAAAGACGGUUGUAACAGCAAGAAGAGAAAGUGAUUGUACCGUCCCGUUUUCUUCGUCGUAUUCGUAUACGGUUUCUACAGGCAUAUUAACAAAAUUACUAAAUUGCCCCCCAGAAAAAGACGGUUGUAACAGCAAGAAGAGAAGUGAUUGUAUUACAGACAAAAUUAAAAACAGAUUCAUCUAAUUUACUUGAGGCAGAUCAACUGUAACUAACAACAGAAAACGAA